UACGUAGGGCGCAAGCGUUGUCCGGAAUUAUUGGGCGUAAAGAGCUCGUAGGCGGUCUGUCGCGUCUGCCGUGAAAACCCGAGGCUUAACCUCGGGCCUGCGGUGGAUACGGGCAGACUAGAGUGCGGUAGGGGGUGACUGGAAUUCCUGGUGUAGCGGUGGAAUGCGCAGAUAUCAGGAGGAACACCGAUGGCGAAGGCAGGUCACUGGGCCGCAACUGACGCUGAGGAGCGAAAGCAUGGGGAGCGAACAGG
rnacentral:rRNA from 1 species